ACCCAACAACCACAUCCCUCCUCUAGAGAAUCCCCUGAGAGCUCAGCUCCUCAGCAUGGACUGGACCUGGAGGAUCCUCUUCUUGGUGGCAGUAGCCACAGGUGCCCACUCCGAGAUGCAGCUGGUGCAGUCUGAGGCUGAGGUGAAGAAGCCUGGGGCCUCAGUGAAGAUUUCCUGCAAGGCUUCCGGAUACACCUUCACUUACCGCUACUUGCACUGGUUGCGACAGACCCCUGGACAAGGGCUUGAGUGGAUGGGAUGGAUCACACCUUACAAUGGUAACACCAACUAUGCACAAAAGUUCCAGGACAGAGCCACCAUUACCAGAGACAGGUCUAUGAGCACAGCCUACAUGGAGCUGAGCAGCCUGAGAUCUGAGGACACGGCUGUGUAUUACUGUGCAAGAUACACAGUGUGAAAACCCACAUCCUGAGACCGUCAGAAACCCCAGGGAGGAGGCAGCUGCACUGAAUGAGGAGAUUACAGGGCUUA